rnacentral:rRNA from 1 species
GACGAACCUUGCAAACGUUAUUCGGAAUCACUGGGCUUAAAGGGUGCGUAGGCUGUGCAGAAAGUUGGGUGUGAAAUACCUCGGCUUAACCGAGGAAUUGCGCCCAAAACUACUGUGCUCGAGGAAGAUAGAGGUGAGCGGAACUUAGGGUGGAGCGGUGAAAUGCGUUGAUAUCCUAAGGAACACCGGUGGCGAAAGCGGCUCACUGGCCGGAAACUGACACUGAGGUGCGAAAGCUAGGGUAGCAAACGGG